CCAGGAUCGCCUUGCAGGCUCUAUCCCAUGGACCACCCUUCACUACCAGUCAUGGGCUAUGGGCCACCUCCCUCUCUUCCACCUACUCUAUUUGCUAAGAUGACCUGAACUGGAUGAGUGGCUGGACAACUAUUCUGAAAUUUGAAGAGGACUGCGCAUGGAGACAGACUAUGGUGACAAGGUCAGAAUGCAACUUACAGGGAGCUACACAUCUGUUAUGAAUUUACUGAACCCGAAAGUGUACACCUGAGGAGGAAUGAGUGUCGAUUUUCCUGGAAGCAGAUGCUGACACAGAGACACAACUGUGACAAGUGUAU